UGAACGCUGGCGGUAGGCCUACCACAUGCAAGUCGAACGGCAGCACAGUAAGAGCUUGCUCUUACGGGUGGCGAGUGGCGGACGGGUGAGGAAUACAUCGGAAUCUACUUUUUCGUGGGGGAUAACGUAGGGAAACUUACGCUAAUACCGCAUACGACCUACGGGUGAAAGCAGGGGAUCUUCAGACCUUGCGCGAUUGAAUGAGCCGAUGUCGGAUUAGCUAGUUGGCGGGGUAAAGGCCCACCAAGGCGACGAUCCGUAGCUGGUCUGAGAGGAUGAUCAGCCACACUGGAACUGAGACACGGUCCAGACUCCUACGGGAGGCAGCAGUGGGGAAUAUUGGACAAUGGGCGCAAGCCUGAUCCAGCCAUACCGCGUGGGUGAAGAAGGCCUUCGGGUUGUAAAGCCCUUUUGUUGGGAAAGAAAAGCAGCAGGUUAAUACCCCGCUGUUCUGACGGUACCCAAAGAAUAAGCACCGGCUAACCUCGUG
rnacentral:rRNA from 1 species